AGCGGCUGAGCGGUGUGUUGCUGCCCCCAAGUGGCGACUGAGGGGUUGUGUCCCGACCUGGGAAUAGUGCUGAGAGGAGCAGCAGCGGGGACGGGACUUGGGGACUCGGGGUUGCCCUGGGAACCUCUGGGAAGCCCAUCCAGAUGGUGAGGCUUCCAGACAUGGGCCAAGGAAGAGUGGUGGUGGUGAAGAAGUUGGAGGUGGAAGCAGAUAAUUUGGAGCCCCAGGAAAUGAUGGAGGCACAAGAUUAACCAGUCUGCUGUGUGAGUCACCAGAUGGAGGACAGAUGCCAACCAAGCAGGACACCUGUGGCAAGAAAUCAACUAUUGUAUGAAGUCACUGAAAUCAAGGGAGUUCUUUGUUACAGUAGCUGACAUUACACUUACUGAUACUCCGACCCUUCCUCUCUGGGCCCCUGAUAUCAAUAAACCUUGAGCACCC
ensembl:lncRNA